rnacentral:rRNA from 1 species
GAUGAACGCUGGCGGCGUGCCUAAUACACGCAAGUCGAGCGAACAGACGAGGAGCUUGCUCCUCUGACGUUAGCGGCGGACGGGUGAGUAACACGUGGAUAACCUACCUAUAAGACUGGGAUAACUUCGGGAAACCGGAGCUAAUACCGGAUAAUAUAUUGAACCGCAUGGUUCAAUAGUGAAAGACGGUUUUGCUGUCACUUAUAGAUGGAUCCGCGCCGCAUUAGCUAGUUGGUAAGGUAACGGCUUACCAAGGCAACGAUGCGUAGCCGACCUGAGAGGGUGAUCGGCCACACUGGAACUGAGACGCGGUCCAGACUCCUACGGGAAGCAGCAGUAGGGAAUCUUCCGCAAUGGGCGAAAGCCUGACGGAGCAACGCCGCGUGAGUGAUGAAGGUCUUCGGAUCGUAAAACUCUGUUAUUAGGGAAGAACAAAUGUGUAAGUAACUAUGCACGUCUUGACGGUACCUAAUCAGAAAGCCACGGCUAACUACGUG